AAGUCGUAACAAGGUCUCCGUAGGUGAACCUGCGGAGGGAUCAUUAACACGUUUUAACAACGUUUCCAACCAAAACCUGUGAACACAUAACAAAACUCCCUUCACAAACGGACGAACGAAUAACCAUCAGGGUGGAGAGUAGGAGUCAUUCCCUACAAACUAUGGCUCGUUCUAGGGUCCUCCGAGGACUCAAUCCGCUGUGAAGUGUCGUUGCGACCACCUGGCAGUCUGCAUUCAUUUGCAGCGUUCUGCCGAAUGUUUUAACCAAUUUUUUUAACCCCUUUAACAACAUACUAAUAACUGAACCAUUUUUUCAUGAGAGGCUUAGUGCUCUACUGGAAAAGAUAUACGUAAUGCUGAACAACUCUUAGCAAUGGAUAUCUUGGUUCUC
rnacentral:misc_RNA from 1 species